rnacentral:rRNA from 1 species
ACGCUUUUGGCGCGGUGCCUUCCGAGUUCCCUGGAACGGGACGCCACAGAGGGUGAGAGCCCCGUAAGGUCGGACACCAAGCCUGUGUAAAGCCCCUUCGACGAGUCGAGUAGCUUGGGAAUGCUGCUCUAAGCGGGAGGUAUACUUCUUCUAAAGCUAAAUAUUGGCCAGAGACCGAUAGCGCACAAGUAGAGUGAUCGAAAGAUGAAAAGCACUUUGAAAAGAGGGUCAAAUAGUACGUGAAAUUGUUGAAAGGGAAGCGCUUGUGAUCAGACUCGCGCCGGGCGGAUCAUCCAGUGGUCUCCACUGGUGCACUCCGGCCGGCGCGGGCCAGCGUCGGCUGUUGCGGGGGGACAAAAGCUCUGGGAACGUAGCUCUCUCCGGGGAGUGUUAUAGCCCUCUGCAGAAUACCCCCGCGGCGGCCGAGGUCCGCGCAUUGCAAGGACGCUGGCGUAAUGGUCAUCAGCGACCCGUCUUGAAACACGGACCAAGGAGUCGAGGUUUUGCGCGAGUGUUCGGGUGCAAAGCCCCAACGCGUAAUUAACGUGAACGUAGGUGAGAGCUUCGGCGCAUCAUCGACCGAUCCUGAUGUAUUCGGAUGGAUUUGAGUAGGAGCGUAAAGCCUCGGACCCGAAAGAUGGUGAACUAUGCCUGUAUAGGGUGAAGCCAGAGGAAACUCUGGUGGAGGCUCGCAGCGGUUCUGACGUGCAAAUCGAUCGUCAAAUAUGGCAUGGGGCGAAAGACUAAUCGAACCAUCUAG